rnacentral:rRNA from 1 species
AUACGUAGGGUGCGAGCGUUGUCCGGAAUUACUGGGCGUAAAGAGCUCGUAGGUGGUUUGUCGCGUCGUCUGUGAAAUUCCGGGGCUUAACUCCGGGCGUGCAGGCGAUACGGGCAUAACUUGAGUACUGUAGGGGAGACUGGAAUUCCUGGUGUAGCGGUGAAAUGCGCAGAUAUCAGGAGGAACACCGGUGGCGAAGGCGGUUCUCGGGCAGUAACUGCCGCUGAGGAGCGAAAGCAUGGUUAGCGAACAGGAUUAGAUACCCUGGUAGUCCAUGCCGUAAACGGUGGGCGCUAGGUGUAGGGGUCUUCCACGACUUCUGUGCCGUAGCUAACGCAUUAAGCGCCCCGCCUGGGGAGUACGGCCGCAAGGCUAAAACUCAAAUGAAUUGACGGGG